rnacentral:rRNA from 1 species
GACGAACGCUGGCGGCGUGCCUAACACAUGCAAGUCGAACGAGGUAGCAAUACCUAGUGGCAGACGGGUGAGUAACGCGUGGUCAACCUACCGUUGAGUGGGGGAUAACUAGCCGAAAGGUUAGCUAAUACCGCAUACGUCUCCGAGGGGCAUCCCUUGGCGAUAAAAGGAGCAAUCCGCUCGAUGACGGGACCGCGUCCCAUUAGCUAGAUGGUGGGGUAACGGCCUACCAUGGCACCGAGGGUAGCUGGUUUGAGAGAGCGACCAGCCACACUGGGACUGAGAAACGGCCCAGACUCCUACGGGAGGCAGCAGUGAGGAAUUUUCCGCAAUGGGCGCAAGCCUGACGGAGCGACGCCGCGUGUGGGAAGAAGGCC